rnacentral:lncRNA from 1 species
CAAAACUUGGAGUGGAAGACAGAGAAGCAUCUUAGGUCAUAGAGCUUCCAGAGCACAUUUUUACUGACAUUCAGCAUCCCAAAAGACUGAAGGGCAACCGGAUUCUGUGGAUCCUUUCUGAACAGUGAUGGGGCAAAUUAAGGAAAAAGAAAAGCAUUAAGCAAUGCUUGAAAAAGGACUUUGUCAGCUUCUGACUAUUUAAAACUUUUCUCAUAGGUUUGAUUUGAAAUGUCUUGGGUAGUUCUUAUGCUCACACUAAUCAGAAAAGACUCAGUUACAUGUGUUGGUAAGUGGCAAAUUCCAUAAAAGCUCCUGAUGUCUUUAGGAGAAAUCCACCUGCAGCCUGUAAUCAAACUGUGCAUCUCAAGGGAACCCUGAACUUUGCCUUGGACAGUAUGAGAGAAAGAAAUUGCUGAGGGGGGAUGUUACCCAGAUUUAAACUGGGUUUAGUAUUUUUGUCAAGAAACUGAAUAACAACAUCUGUUUUAAAAAAAGUAAUGUCUGCUUUCAAGAAUCAUCAACUACCUGCACUGACAUAUCCUUCUCCUAAUAAUCCAUAAGGGACUAUUGAAAUAAUAACAAGUUACAAAUUUGUGAGAAUUGCUUUUGUAAAAAGAUGAUUUCACCAUUAAAAUAAUUAUGUUUUUAAAUGAUUAGCCCUCACAGUCACUAUUUCAAAGUAAACUGUGUCUAUUGUUUUUGAAUUUCUGAUCAAUUUUGUCUCAUGUAGUGGGUGGGCUGCUGUCAGAUGUUUGGCAGACUACAAUGCAAAUUAAGUUUUUUAGUCUAUGGGAAUAUCCAUUAACCGUACACAUUUCCAAACUUUAAAAUGCAUGCUUGAAAAUUACAGUUGAUUAGAUUCUUUGUUGUGAAUUGCAGAACAAAAGCUGAAAAUCCAGCUCUGCUUUUCAUGUAUUAUAUCAAACAAUGAUGCAAUUCCACUAUUGUAUAGAAUAAAAGGUGUGUUCAUGUUUGAAGAACA